GACGAACGCUGGCGGCGUGCUUAACACAUGCAAGUCGAACGGUAAGGCCCUUCGGGGUACACGAGUGGCGAACGGGUGAGUAACACGUGGGUGUUCUGCCCUGCACUUCGGGAUAAGCCUGGGAAACUGGGUCUAAUACCGGAUAGGACUCCUGGCUUCAUGGUUGGGGGUGGAAAGCUUUUGCGGUGUGGGAUGGGUCCGCGGCCUAUCAGCUUGUUGGUGGGGUAAUGGCCUACCAAGGCGACGACGGGUAGCCGGCCUGAGAGGGUGACCGGUCACACUGGGACUGAGAUACGGCCCAGACUCCUACGGGAGGCAGCAGUGGGGAAUAUUGCACAAUGGGCGCAAGCCUGAUGCAGCGACGCCGCGCGAGGGAUGACGGCCUUCGGGUUGUAAACCUCUUUCAGCUAUGACGAAGCGCAAGUGACGGUAGUAGCAGAAGAAGGACCGGCCAACUACGUGCCAGCAGCCGCGGUAA
rnacentral:rRNA from 1 species